UGUGACGAAGUGGGCCUGUUCUUAAUGUUUCCUCCGAAUAUUGUGGGGGUGCCUCAGUUUCCCCUAUGCAGUUCUUAAGUAUCUAGGUGGUGGGGUAAGGGUGUAUGAUCAUUGCAGAGCCCUAGAGGGCAGGUGUGUGCAGGGGUCUGGACACAGAGAAUGGCCGACACCCUGUUUCCUGGCAACUGAUGGCCUGGGCCCUUCCCCCCCUGCAAGGUGAAAGCUGAAGGGUUGGAGAACAAAGGAAUCAGGUGCCCUCCUGGCCCGGGAAAGGAACAAAGCCCAGAGGAGGAGGGGCUGGAGGGAGUUUCAGUUUGGGGCUGGCUGGGACAUGGAGUGAAGUGCAGACGGGGUUGUCUGGCUCACUGCCCCCCAAAAUGGACCCAGCUGAGGGGUCCCGUUCUCUGCACCUGCAAGCUCUGUUUUAGACCAUGUUCCUGUCGUCUAAUAAACCUUCUGUUUUACUGGCUGGCUGAGAGUCACGUCUGACUGCGGAGUUGGGGUGCAGGACCCUCUGGCUUCCCUAGGAGCCCCGCCUGAGCGGACUCGCUGGGGGGAAGCGCACGGAGGGGCAGAGGAUGCUGAAUGCUCCGAGGUCAGACCCAGGAAGGUGGAAGCUGUGUGAGCUGUGUGUCCUGAAGACAGGCUGCUCACAGAAAGGCGACUACCCCAGAGUCCUGACUGGCUUCAUGGGGAGCAGUUCCAGAGCAUCGCCCAGGGACUCCGUGACAACUGGUGGCAGCGGUGGGAUGUACUGCACCCCGUGGAUGGCGCUUCCUGCAGUAAGUGACUGGGGAGCAGUAACACGAAGGGGGAUUGCCGAGGACCAGGCCUGCUGAAGGCUCAGAAAGGAGCGGUUUCGGGGGCGGUUAACCCCUGGGAGUGUGUGACCAGCGAGAAGGACUGUGCAGUAAUGGGGUCCCCCUGGGGACUGCAGUGAGCAGUCUCAGGGGCGGAGGAGUCUGCAGCUCGACCCUGGCAAAGAGGUGGUGACCUCGAGAAGGGCUGGCACACUAGGGGUUCUCCCUGGAAACCGUGGGGAGCUGAGAACACACGGGCCUGUGAGUCCACAACAACUUGGGAGGAGCGGAGUGAUGGCCUGUCACCGUCUCCUUAAGAAGGACAUUGUAACCCUGUGCAAAAAGAGAGGAUUAAGUGUUGGAAAGUUCACCAAAGCAGAGUUAAUCGUGCAGCUGGAGGAGGAUGACCGCUCUAAGGAACAGACUCCUGACCCCAACUGGGGCUAUAGCAGGAUCUGGGAGCAGCUGGAGCGGGAGCCAGGCAUCGCCAAGACUCCUGUCCCCGACCAGACGGGGGUCUUCACGAUCGGGUUCCCCAUCGGGGGAUCGGAGAUGGACGCGAUUGGAGCUGAGUCUGAGAGAGCAAGAGGACCGUGGGAGACAGCGAGAGCCCGAGAAAGAGCUGCAGAAGCAGCAGCAGCAUGAACUGGCGGUGGGGGAGCGGAGAGGCCUAGGGGACCUCCCCGGGGAGAAUAAACCAUCCCUCAUUCAGACUGGUCCAGAAGCAACCCUGCAGACCCACCUCCUUGUAUUUGAGGCCGAGAAAUCCAGAAAAGAAAACCGCGUUGUGUGUUUAGAAAUGAGAAAGGAACUCUUUCCGAAGCCUACAUACAAAUGAACUUUUAAAUUUGAGGAGACAGAAUAAAAACUGGUCCCAGUUACCAGGGAAAUUAUGUCUUGUUUAUACUAAUCUGGAAUAUAUAUGGGGAUGGGCAUUACAUAAAAUCAAAUUUUGCAUACUACAAAUCUGUAAAAUGCAAAAGGUGUGUUUAAUAGAAUUUUCUAUAUCGUUUCAUUAAUUUUUUUAGAUAAAGAAAAAAUAUUAAAAAUCAUCAGUAUU